rnacentral:rRNA from 1 species
GAAUUGACGGGGACCCGCACAAGCAGCGGAGCAUGUGGUUUAAUUCGAAGCAACGCGAAGAACCUUACCUAGUCUUGACAUCCCGAUGACCGGUCGGUAAUGCGACCUUUCCUUCGGGGCAUUGGUGACAGGUGGUGCAUGGUUGUCGUCAGCUCGUGUCGUGAGAUGUUGGGUUAAGUCCCGCAACGAGCGCAACCCCUAUCUUUAGUAGCCAGCAUUUUGGAUGGGCACUCUAGAGAGACUGCCAGGGAUAACCUGGAGGAAGGUGGGGAUGACGUCAAAUCAUCAUGCCCCUUAUGACUAGGGCUACACACGUGCUACAAUGGUAAUUACAAAGUGAAGCAACCUCGUGAGAGUGAGCAAAUCACAAAAAGGUUACCUCAGUUCGGAUUGUAGUCUGCGACUCGACUACAUGAAGCUGGAAUCGCUAGUAAUCGCGAAUCAGCAUGUCGCGGUGAAUACGUUCCCGGGUCUUGUACACACCG